rnacentral:rRNA from 1 species
CAGCAGCCGCGGGAAUACAGAGGAUGCAAGCGUUAUCCGGAAUGAUUGGGCGUAAAGCGUCUGUAGGUGGCUUUUCAAGUCCGCCGUCAAAUCCCAGGGCCCAACCCUGGACAGGCGGUGGAAACUACCAAGCUGGAGUACGGUAGGGGCGGAGGGAAUUUCUGGUGGAGCGGUGAAAUGCGUUGAGAUCGGAAAGAACACCAACGGCGAAAGCACUCUGCUGGGCCGACACUGACACUGAGAGACGAAAGCUAGGGGAGCAAAUGGGAUUAGAUACCCCCGUAGUCCCUGUCUCUUAUAC